rnacentral:rRNA from 1 species
ACUCCUACGGGAGGCAGCAUGGUAGGAUUGAUGCAAUGGGGGAAACCCUGAUCCAGCCAUGCCGCGUGUGUGAAGAAGGCCUUCGGGUUGUAAAGCACUUUCAGUGGGGAGGAAGGUAGUGUAGUUAACACCUGCAUUAUUUGACGUUACCUACAGAAGAAGCACCGGCUAACUCCGUGCCAGCAGCCGCGGUAAUACGGAGGGUGCGAGCGUUAAUCGGAAUUACUGGGCGUAAAGCGCAUGCAGGCGGCCUGUUAAGUCAGAUGUGAAAGCCCGGGGCUUAACCUCGGAAUUGCAUUUGAAACUGGCAGGCUAGAGUCUUGUAGAGGGGGGUAGAAUUUCAGGUGUAGCGGUGAAAUGCGUAGAGAUCUGAAGGAAUACCAGUGGCGAAGGCGGCCCCCUGGACAAAGACUGACGCUCAGAUGCGAAAGCGUGGGGAGCAAACAGGAUUAGAUACCCUGGUAGGAUAG